GUCUAUGGCCAUGUCACCCUGAACAAGCCCGAUCCCGUCUGAUCUCAGAAGCUAAGCAGGGUUGGGCCUGGUUAGUACUUGGAUGGGAGACCACCUAGGAAGACCGGUUGCUGUAGGCA
rnacentral:rRNA from 1 species